GAGCCAAAUCGGCAUAUUCUGGGGGAUGCGCACGGUGGAGACCUGGUCUGGACUUUCCACCGUCUUAGCACCAACAGAAGCCCCUACACACCUCCCCGAGCACUCUCGCGACCACCCUCGGGCGGAUGGUCGAAGACGGGAACUCCUCAAAGUGGUCCAACGCCGCAUCUCCCUCUCCCCACACGGCGUUUUCCCACUCCAGAGCUCUCCCUGAGAGGCACGAGACGAGGGCGGACACCCUCUCCCUUCCCGGGUGGCCAGGUAUAGGUCCAGCUCUAAUAGGAACUCCUGGCACCGUGCUGCUGUCCCAUCAUACUCCCUGGGAAGGGAGAGACGCAUCCCACUUGGAAUGGAUCCAGGAGGGACGGGUAGAGGUAACCCCGGUUGCGCUGGUCAAGGCACUGGAGAGACUUCCUGUCUCUCCCAACGGUCCAUGGUAUGGUUAACGAGAUCGAUCGUGGCACCGAGAUGUUGCAGCAUUGCUGAGUGUUCCCGGAUGCGCUCCUCGACUUCUCUGACCGGGGUACCUGCUCCUGCUGACUCCAUGGGUGGUGUGAAAUUCUGUCAGGGUUGUGUGCUACUGAUGCGAAGUCAGGUGCAGGAGAGCAGUGAGUUGUGAUCAGGCGCACUUUUAUUUGGAAAAAGCACAAAAGACAGACGCAACUGCAUCCAAAAUCCUUCAGCCACAGCACAGACUACUCAGUAAAUAUACCACUUUAUGGUUAAAGGAAAUCCUGCCUCAGUCUCAUCCAUUCCUCUGUCACCUGACAUGUGACCACCUGUUCACCUUCACUGUCAGUCAUCCUACCUGUCCAGCUACCCACACAGAUUUCACUUAUCUUUCAAUGGUCCUUCGAGCCGGAUGUUGACUGAACCAAAGACAGGUGAAAAGGAAAUGGAGGCGGAGAGGGAAGAAUUGUCUCCACUGGAAGAAAGAAGAGAGGAGGAGAGAACAGCAUGAGGGUAAGGUCUUGGAACAAAAUAAAUAUCCAGGAGCUAAGCCUAAAGCAACAAAGGCUUCAUCCUCAACCACCAGCAGCACCAGAAGAACCAGGCAAGCACCUGGUUAUCUUAAGGAUUAUGUGGUCAAGUUUCCGACUUCAAAGGGCAAGCCCACCAGAGCUCAAAGUGGUGAUGGAUCAACUGUACGUUUCAGCCAUCAACCAUCCCCUUUGAGCCAAGGACCGGAAACUGCUUUGGAGCAGGAAAGUGGACUACAGGAAGAACCCAUGAAGGUGACUCCCACAGCACAGGUCAACCAGCUUCCUGAAGCAGGCUCCGCUCACCCCUUAACUAAUGGGAAAUCGUCGAAGCACUCUAGACGGAGUGGGAGUUCGACCAGUGGGUACCCCUUUGGAAGUGGUCAUGGCAGCCGCCAUUCACUAGCCCUCAGCGAUUCACCGACCACUGUUCUACAAGAGAGGAUGAAACUAUUAGCUUUGGAGGAAAUUGAGCGUCAUAUUGAGGAGGAACGACAGGCUGACGAAGGAUGUCACCAAUUGGAUGUGCAGGCCCGUAGAGCUCUACAGGAACGGGAAUUCAUUGCCAAGGACCUGGCACAGCAGCGACGGCACCGUCAAGCCAGAAGGGAAUUGGAGGAGGCACGGAUGGUCUCAUCCUUCCUGGAGAGGAACGAACAGGGAGUUGACCUGACCACCCCUCUACAUGGACCUGACCUGUCUACCUUUCUUUCCCAAUCUGCCCCUCUGGUACCGCAUGGCACACAGUCCCCGGAGGCUCCGGGGUCAACAGCUAACAUGGAGCAUGGGGACAGUCUGCUCCACCAUCGCCCUCUAUGCCAGUGACACAAGUUAGCAUUCCUCCAUCUGGACAAAUCAUUACUCCUUCGCCUUUCCGGCAAAUUGUUCCUCUCGUACAGGGCCAGGCCAGUCCUCAAAUAUCAGAUGGGAGGGCUCUCACCCAAUUCCAGCUGCCACCAUUGGAGGGUCUGGGACAGUAGGGGACCGGCCCAAUGAGGCCACAGUGGGCUCAUCAGAAGUCCCGGAUUUCUCCUUCACGCACUCAGAAGAGGGAGCGAACAUUAUGAAUCUUCUAGUAGCCUCAGCCUAUGGAAUUCCCAGACCCAAACUGCCAUACUUUGAGAGAGGAAAGGAAUUGAAUUUGUCCUUUUGGAAAUGGCAUUGGAGAGCCUACUGGGUAUUCUCAGUCAUCUGUCAGAACGCUACAAAUACCAAGUACUAAUGGACCAUUUGCGGUUUCCCAGUGCAUAUAGGCUGGCCCAAUCCUUUAUGCACUCCGCUACACCAUACACUGCUGCUCUCCAGGUCCCGAAGCCCAGAUAUGGUGAGCCACACCAGCUAGUCCAGAAUGAACUAAACAACAUCCUGAACACGUCUCCAAUUAAAAUGGGAGACCAUGCUGCCUUCCAAGAGUUCUCCCUGGCUGUCCAAUCCCUGACCUCAAUGCUCCAAUCCGUUGAAGGAGAAGACGGGAACGAGCUGAAAUGUGGCUCCCACGUGGACAGGCUUCUUAGCAAAUUUCCAGUGUACCUCAAAGACAGUUUAAUGGAAAAUUGUUUGAACAAGGGCAUCCUGAGAGAGGGCUCGAGAAGCACCUAUGCUCUCAGAGACCUUGCCGCAUUGUUGGAGGUGAAGGCAAAGGUGAAGAGCAUCGCUCACCAGGCCACAAUCUCAGCCAUAGCCACUGGGGAAGGAAGGAGUUUUUAAAAAAAAAAAAAUUUUUAUUUUUUUAUUUCACCUUUAUUUAACCAGGUAGGCCAGUUGAGAACAAGUUCUCAUUUGCAACUGCG
ensembl:lncRNA